ensembl:lncRNA
CUAUAAUAUUGCAAUAUAAUACAUGGUGGGAAAUUCCGACAUUAGAAACUAAAUUGAAAUUGGAAUGUGAAUGUCGGAAUGAGUGUGAGAGGAACCUUAUUAAGUGUAAUUUGUUAUGCACUGCAGCGGCAGAGAGAGAGAGAGAGAGAGAGAGAGAGAGAGAGAGGAAUCCUGGUUAUUAUGUGGUUGUAUGAUGGUGGCGUGUAUGUGUGCACACACACACACACACACACACACACACACACACACACACACACACACAUAUCUAUAUUUACAAGCACAUGCAUGUAUAUAUUUAAGAAAAAUAUAUGUUUAUAAUUUAUUUUAUAUAUUAAGAAUAUGAAUAUAUAAAUGUAUAAACGCAAAUAUUUUCAAAAUAUAUAAUGUAUGUUAGUGUGUGUGUAUAUAUAUAUAUAUAUAUAUAUAUAUAUAUAUAUAUAUAUAUAUAAAAUACACUAAAACACAAUACAUUUUGUCUUGCAUAAUAGAGUCUAUGCCUAUGAAAGCCCUGAAAGAAAGGAAGGAUUUCCCAGAUGAUGUAAGAAUGUUUCCAGUACAAUGUUUUGGUGAUGUUUCCUUAUGUGAUGUGUUAAAUCAUCAAUGAUAACCACUGUUGGCAUAUUCUGAAAAAAAAAAAUAUAUAUAUAUAACCCAUAGCUCAUCAGCCAUGAUUUAAAAAGGAAGAACAGUAUCAGUACAGUGCAUGGUUUUAAAACGGUAAUAAAGAUUUUAAACCUCUAGAGCGAGUGUUACGUGCUGAAAGAGGAAAGAGAGAGACCUGCGGUAAUAUUUCACAUCAAAGUUUGAUUGCUCGCUGCUUUCACUACAAGCUCUUUUACCCUUUUAAACCAAACACACAUUACUAAUUCCCUGCAAAACAUGCAUGUCUUUUAGUUCUAAUAACCUGUAAUCCAGCAGGAGGAAUAAUUCAUGACUCCUCAUGUAUUAUUGAAUAAACUCCAGGAGGGCAGCGGGACUCAGAUGGAGAAACGCUGUGUUUCAGGUGAAGCUGCUGCCGUUAAUGGAUUGAGAGGUGAAGACGACGUCUCUGCAGGGACUGUUUAACCAUAAGAUCAGACUUUACACACUCUCACAUUUUACACAGAAGAACUUUACAUGCAAGAGAAUUUACACUAUUUAACAUGAUCGCAAUAGAAUGCAUUCAUUAAGUCAAUCUGAAACACUUUUACAGACAAAUAUCUGUGAAGCUUUUGAAGUUCAUUUAGAGUGGUUUUAUUCUAUGCAUGACAAAUAACAUGAAUACAAUCAUCUAUUGGCAUUCAGUUUAAACAGAUUUACCUUGUUCAACAUUUAAACGUUUAAUUCUGUCACAGAUGUGUGUUAUAGAUGCUCUCAGUAUGUUGAUAUUGUGUCAGUGUUUAUUCAAAUGUACUAAAUUACAGGUGUGCACUUCACCUGCAAAUAUGAACAACAUCGCCCAUAAACUUCUGACAUUAUUAAGCAUGAACUGCACAGGAAAAAAAGAUGUAGAAAAAAGAAUGGUGCAUUCAUUUUUCUACAUUAAAGACUUAAAUGAGAAGUUUUUACUCCUCCGAAGAGGCAUCAAAUAAGACUGUCAUUCAUCUCUGAAGACACAUUUACUGAAGUGAAGCAGCUUCCAUUUUCAAGAGCCGUAUUCAUUUCACAUGCAUUUAUACUAAAGAUAAGAGACGCACUCAGUGUGUGUGUGUGUGUGUUUGUGUGUGUGUGUGAAAGAGAGAGAAACAGACAGAAAGAAAGAUGAAGAGCGCACGAUGGGAUUUUAUUGCGAGUAUCACUGCGUUCCUUUGUAAGAUGAACUUUCAUGUUGUUUCUUUUCGGACAAUAAAUCUCAUUUCUGAAAUGCUUUCAGAAUAAUCUAAUUAACUCUAAAUAGUGCUCUAAUUGAGCCGGUGUCAAAAUGGCAAACAAUGAUGCCUCUGUUGCAAUUAAUAAAUUGCUGACAGAAUCUAUGAGCCUUAAUAUGAAAAUCCAUUCAAACCCACCCCAUUAAUGUGAGUGUUUGAAUAGAUUUAGCCGAUGAUUUUGUUUUGUGAAAUCACUGUUCAUGCAGAGACAGCGCGGCUGAUUACUGAACUGAGAACAGAAAUAUAACCGUCAUAACAAACACCUUUAUUCUGCAUCAGAAGAGAGAAAAACAUCUCGUUAGAUAAAAAUAAAAGAGAAAGUUGCUGUGAGAGAGAGAAAGAGAGAGAGAGAGGCACAUUCAGGAAGGUGAUUAACACGGGAACGACUUUAACGCGUGCCGCUAAUUAAAUGGAUAUGCUAAUGUUGUCAUACUUAGCAGAUGGAAUUAAAAUUGCUUAUUGUAAUGCACACGUUAUUGUAUUAUUAAAACAACAUGUUUAGGGUUUAUACGGUGUCAUACUGUACUGUCAGAUGCCCUCCGAACCAUGCGUCUUUCUCCUUUUUUAACAUCUCACUCUCGCUUUUCUCUCUUAGGAUGAGACAGAGAAACAUACGCUUGCAUUUAUGCAUUUGGUGGAUGCUUUUAUACAAAGUGCUCACAGUGUGCUGAAGGUGUAGCCUGGAUUAUAGCUCAGCAGGCCUAUACGAGAUCUCUGGCAACAGAAACCAUAGCCAAGCCAUUGCUUACGCCAUUUUUUACAUGCAUACUAAGUUUGUGUAAGUGUGUAUGUUUAUGCAUAAUGCAACUAAAGCUUCUUCAUUUUUUUUUUUUUUUUUUUUUUAUGCACUAAAAAUCUUUUUAUCUGCACUGUUUGUUCACUGGUUUGCACUCUAUCUGCCAUGUGCCUUGCGCUGCUUUUAUUUAACCUUAUUUUUUUCUAUUAUGUCUUUUUUUUACAUUCCCUUAUUGUAUAGUUUUAUCUUAUAUUUUAUAUUUGAUCUAGAUUUUUAGGCUCUACUGUUAGUGUUAUCUGUAUGCACCGGGGGUCUGAGAGUAACGCAAUUUCAAUUCUCUGCAUGUAUGUACUGUACAUGUGGAAGAAUUGACAAUAAAGCAGACUUGACUUGACUUGACUUCAAUACAACCUACAAAGACACAAGACAGUAACUGUCAACACUUAAACAGUUUUUUUUAUUAACUUUUGAUUGACCUGAUCAUCAUUUUCAUACUCCAUUUUCUCUGUUCGGGCAUAAAUCAAAAGCUAGUAAAAAUAAGUUCCAAUAAAAUGUUCCUAUCAUUCCUACAGUAUUAGAUAUGAAAAUGUCAUUUCUCUAUGCUCUCUAUUUUCUCUAUUUCUCUAGUGUUCUCUACGCUUCUAUGGCUUUUAAUUGAUUCAGUGGUUGGAGUUGGGUUAAUACUCUUUGACAAGUUAUGUUGCUACUUUCUCAUUAUGUUUCUGGCUACAUUUAAAAUCAAAACAUAUUGAACAUUUAAUAAUUGUUGAAAUGCUAAAAUGUAUUCCAAACAGGUGUCCAAUGACUGAUAAAUAAAUAUUUGAUUGCUGAAUAUUGUAACCUAAUUGAAGUGAUUUUGCAUACAUUUGCAUGAACGACUGCCUGACACAUAAUAUAUUAUUAUAUUUAUGAUUAACAAUCAGAUGAUGAAUUAGUUAGAAACUAGUUGCUAUGAAUGCAGGUGCCAUCACUCGUCUUCUUAUGAAUGACUUAUUUGUCAUCGAGUCUGUAUUGCUGAUGCAAAGUUACCAAA